CCCUUAGAUGUUCUGGGCCGCACGCGCGCUACACUGACGAAUGCAACGAGCUUAUAACCUUGGCCGAAAGGUCUGGGUAAUCUCCAAAUUUCGUCGUGAUGGGGAUAGAUUAUUGCAAUUAUUAAUCUUCAACGAGGAAUGCCUAGUAAGCGCAAGUCAUCAGCUUGCGUUGAUUACGUCCCUGCCCGUUGUACACACCGCCCGUCGCUCCUACCGAUUGAAUGGUCCGGUGAAGCGUUCGGACCGUGGCCUUUGGACGGUUCGCCGUCUGUUGGCUGCGGGAAGUUCGUUAAACCUUAUCAUUUAGAGGAAGGAGAAGUCGUAACA
rnacentral:rRNA from 1 species